UUUUCAUGCUCAUAAAGAACAUUUUCCAUCACUCAAAAAGAAACCCUAUCCCCUUUAGCUAUCACUCCCUAUUCCCCCAUCUUCCCCACAGCCCUA